CCUACGGGAGGCAGCAGUGAGGAAUAUUGGUCAAUGGGAGAGAUCCUGAACCAGCCAAGCCGCGUGAGGGAAGACGGCCCUAUGGGUUGUAAACCUCUUUUAUCGGAGAACAAAACCCGGGACGUGUCCCGGAAUGCGUGUAUCCGAUGAAAAAGCAUCGGCUAACUCCGUGCCAGCAGCCGCGGUAAUACGGAGGAUGCGAGCGUUAUCCGGAUUUAUUGGGUUUAAAGGGGGCGUAGGGGGUCUGUUAAGUCAGUGGGAAAAGUGCGGGGUCCAACCGCGUCGAGCAGUUGAAACUGGCAGACUUGAGUAGGGGAGAGGUACGCGGAAUGCGCGGUGUAGCGGUGAAAUGCAUAGAUAUCGCGAAGAACUCCGAUUGCGAAGGCAGCGUACUGGA
rnacentral:rRNA from 1 species